rnacentral:rRNA from 1 species
CGGGUGAGUAGUGUAUGGGGAUCUGCCUGAUGGCGGGGGAUAACUACUGGAAACGGUAGCUAAUACCGCAUAACGUCGCAAGACCAAAGAGGGGGACCUUCGGGCCUCUUGCCAUCGGAUGUGCCCAGAUGGGAUUAGCUAGUAGGUGGGGUAACGGCUCACCUAGGCGACGAUCCCUAGCUGGUCUGAGAGGAUGAUCAGCCACACUGGGACUGAGACACGGCCCAG